CUCCUGAGUAGCUAAGAUUACAGGCACCCGCCUCCUUGCCCAGCUAGUUUUUGUAUUUUUAGUAGAGACAGGGUUUCACUAUGUUGGCCAGGCUGGUCUCAAACUCCUGAUCUCAGGUGAUCUGCCCACCUUGGCCUCACAAAGUGCUGGGAUUACUACAGGUGUGAGCCACGGCGCCUGGGCCAAAAGUUAUCUUUUUAGUCAAGUUGAUCAAAAAAUAAAAUUUUGCUUAUUGCUAAUGGAUCUAUUUACAUAAUAAGAAAUUUCUCUAAAUUUAAGUUUAAGAAGGAGAUAAAAAUGUAAGCACCCACAAGUCUCAGUUCUAAGUUAUUUUAAGUAUCAGUUGUCGCCGGGCACGGUGGCUCAUGCAUAGCCAGGCAUGGUGGCGCAUGCCUGUAGUCCCAGCUACUCGGAAGGCUGAAGCAGUAGAAUCGCUUGAACCCGGGAAGUGGAUGUUGCAGUAAGCCGAAAAAAAAAAAAAAAAAAAAAAAAAAAAAAAAAAAAAAAAAAAAAAAAAAAAAAAAAAAAAAAAAAAAAAAAAAAAAAAAAAA
rnacentral:lncRNA from 1 species